GGUAAGCAUGCUAGCACGUGUGGAAACCCUUGCUCUUUUGGAGACCAAUUUGGUCCCAUCCCUUGCUAAUUGGCAAGCCCAAUUUGGUAGACAUUUGGAUCAGGUCAUAUCACCUAGAAACAGCCCAAAUUGGGGCACUACAUCUCAUGUUAACACUAAUUAUGAAGAGUCCAAGUUGUGGUGGACUCUUGGUGCAAAACAAGUUCUGCAUACAAGUAUUGGCAUGGGC
rnacentral:lncRNA from 1 species